rnacentral:rRNA from 1 species
UACGUAGGGUGCAAGCGUUAAUCGGAAUUACUGGGCGUAAAGCGUGCGCAGGCGGCUUUGCAAGACAGAUGUGAAAUCCCCGGGCUCAACCUGGGAACUGCAUUUGUGACUGCAUGGCUAGAGUGCGGCAGAGGGGGAUGGAAUUCCGCGUGUAGCAGCGAAAUGCGUAGAUAUGCGGAGGAACACCGAUGGCGAAGGCAAUCCCCUGGGCCUGCACUGACGCUCAUGCACGAAAGCGUGGGGAGCAAACAGG